rnacentral:ncRNA from 1 species
UACCUGGUUGAUCCUGCCAGUAGUCAUAUGCUUGUCUCAAAGAUUAAGCCAUGCAUGUCUAAGUACAUGCCGAAACAAGGCGAAACCGCGAAUGGCUCAUUAAAUCAGUUAUGGUUCCUUAGAUCGUUUCUUCCUACUUGGAUAACUGUGGCAAUUCUAGAGCUAAUACAUGCAGUGAGCCCGAAGCCCCUCGGGGCGACGGGUGCUUUUAUUAGACCAAGAUCAAUCGGGCUUCGGUCCGUUUUGUGUGGUGACUCUGGAUAACUUUGUGCUGAUCGCACGGCCACGAGCCGGCGACGUUUCUUUCAAGUGUCUGCCUUAUCAACUGUCGAUGGUAGGUUAUGCGCCUA